rnacentral:rRNA from 1 species
AUACAGAGGGUGCAAGCGUUAAUCGGAAUUACUGGGCGUAAAGCGCGCGUAGGCGGUUUAAUCAGUCGGAUGUGAAAGCCCCGGGCUCAACCUGGGAACUGCAUUCGAUACUGUUAAGGUAGAGUAUGGUAGAGGGAAGUGGAAUUCCAGGUGUAGCGGUGAAAUGCGUAGAUAUCUGGAGGAACAUCAGUGGCGAAGGCGACUUCCUGGACCAAUACUGACGCUGAGGUGCGAAAGCGUGGGGAGCAAACAGGAUUAGAUACCCUAGUAGUCC